ACCUUCAUCGUCUUCCUCCCCUAUUUUUGUCUUUGCAAGCACCACUCCACCUAAACCAAAGGAUCAGUACCACUACGAUAGACCACCCAUAUAAGAAUAAUCUUAGAAGCUGGAGGUGUCGAUGUUGCUGAAGAGCCUUGGAGAGUCAGUUACCAGAGUUGUGAGUCAUCAAAGCUAGAAGCAGGAGGUGGAUCCCUAGAAGCAUGUGGUGGAGACCUAGAACCAGGAGGUGGCAGUCCUUAUCGAAACAUAGAGGAAGCCGAUAGUGUUGGCAUCCAAAUCUACUCUCUGUUGUGCUUAUCUAGAAUUAAAAUCUGACCUCUUUGCCAUACACUAUAAAUAUCCAGGUACUGAACAUGAAGUUUAAUUUUCCCUUUUGAAGAGCUUGUGAUUAAUAUGAAGGAAGUGUGAGACUUGUUUUGUUUAGUUUCCUAGAAUAAGAGCAAAGGCUGCCAGUUUGUAGUUUGCCUUUGAAGUAUAGGUUUGAAAUUUCUGUGGGAAUAAUGAACUAUCAAGAAAGUUUGUACUGUAAUCUAUAUAAUUAUGUUUGCUGCAAUAUAAAUUUCUUUUUUUU